CAGACCUGGGGAAUCCACCUAUACACAGAAAUCUGUACAUAUUUCUCUGAGUUCUUUGUUGCCCGACAAUAAACUGUAAAAGGCAGUCAUAUUUGAAAGUAACAGCCAUUCGGCUGUGGUUCUGGGCUGCGGAGGCAGGCGCACGGUGAAGGAGGAGGAAAAGUACCGUACCUUUGCCCUCUCCUAAGCCAUUCUCUCCACAUGCAAAUCUGAAGUGCCUUGCUCCACCACAGCAGAACAUGGCCUGGGUUCUGCUCCUCGGAGGAGGAGGAGGAGGAGGAGGAAAUUAACAAGCCCUUCCCAGCCCCAUUCACAAACUGACAAGAGGCGGAGCCCAUAUCUUCAUCUGCCAGCACCAGCCCGGUCAGGGCACAGUCACCAGAACCUGACAUCUGCUGUGGAAUCUCCAUCACAAGUGAGACAUCUCUCGUGGGAGCUAACAUGGACGUGCGGUGGGGAGACGUAGGUGGGUGGCCAGACAGCCGAAGUCAGUCGCUCACUCCGGAGGACAGAAGGACAGACACCAUAGUGUUUAAGCUGCUGCCUUAACAUUUCCUGGGUAUGAAUUGGUCAUCUGAUGUUAUUCUCCACCACUUCUGAUUGAUUUUUUCCCCCAAAAUAAGUCUUUUAAAGGCCAGUGAGUGAAUGUGUGAGACCUGGCAAUCUGAGAUCCUUCCUCAGGGUCAACAUGGUAGAAAGAAAAGAAGCUCACCUUAAGAGUUGUCAUCUGGCCGGGUGUGGUGGCGCACGCCUUUAAUCCCAGCACUCAGGAGGCAGAGGCAGGUGGAUUUAUGAGUUCGAGGCCAGCCUGGUCUACAGAGUGACUUCCAGGACAGCCAGGGCUAUACAGAGAAACCCUGUCUCAAAAAACCAAAAAAAAAAAAAAAAAAAAAAAAAAAAAGAGUUGUCAUCUGACUCACACGUGUACACACACACAUACAAUACACACACACUCAAACAUAUACAAUACACACUCACAUACCACAUACUCACACUCACCCACUCUUACCCACUACACACACUCACACACCACACACAAUCACACACAUACACGCACACACACAAUACAUAAACACUCAUACACCACAUACACUCACACACACUACACAUACUCACACACCAUACAAAUUCUCUCUCAUACACACAUACACACACCUAUGCACACACACACACACAUACAGAAUACACACACACACCACAUACACAACACACCUACAUACUCUUAUACACAUUACUACACAUACACACCAUAUACAUACUACACUCACACACACACACACACACACACACACACAAAACACGCUCUCUCUCUCUCUCACAUACACACACUCACACAUAUGUGCACACACACAUAGUUUAAAACUGUGAAAGGUUUUUCAAGCUGGACUCUAAAAUAACUCGUACUAUUUUCAAGCCCAGCCGUAGCAUCUUCUCUUCAUUCAUAAAUCUCAUAUCAUCUUAAGCAAUUUCCAUUCAUCAGCAGGGAACGAAGAUGUUUGCUCUUUGGAGUCCAACAGAAAAAUAACCUAUGUGCAAAACACAGCUGACCAUUAUGGACAUUUGCAUGAAAGACUUUUGAAAAGAACAGAAUUUAUCAAGGAUGGUCUACCUGGAGCCACCAGCCAUCUUUAAUCAAUGGGAUUGAUAGUAUUAAAUGGAUUAUGAGAGUCCUACGUUUUAAAUUGCUCCAAUACCAUCAUUUUUAAAAGAAUGAUAUCCAUCAUCACUUUUGUUCCUUUUAGGCCAUCUCUAGCCUCCCUGGUUAUUUUUUUCUUCUAAAUAGAAAUAAACCUAGUUGCCAGAGGCUUGGAUUAUUACUUGAUGUGAAGUGAAUAUUUAUAGCUAUGUCAUUUCACGAUCCUUUCCUGAAUCUAACGCCUUUUCUAAAAUCCAGGCCCUCAGAAUAUGCAGCUGUCAAAUAGUAUUAAUACCACCUUACUGGGGGAGCACUACUGGGGAGCAUUGCUACUCUGGUCCCUUUUGUUAAUGUCUAUUCCGUUAAACCUCAACACUUUACAGGAAUCUCUCGCCUCUCUGCUACCGUGCAGCCUCAAAUCUAACCUGCUCCUUCUUUAAAGCCAAGAUCAUCAAAUACUCCUACUUUCACUAGCAUACCCAGUUUUUGGGGUUUUUUGUUUGUUUGUUUUGUUUUUAAGCCCUGUUUUGUGGUCCCAAGAAAGCUUCAGAACUAAGAAAACAUUCUGUGUCCCCAGCAGGAGACACGGCACAUCCUGCAGCACUCCUGUGUCCCCAGCAGGAGACAGGGCACAUCCUGCAGGACUCAAAGGCUCCCGAGAGCCCACACUGAGGGCUGAUCUUUUCUCUUUGGAUUUUGUGACAGCCCCCUUGGGUUCUCCUCCAGAAAGGAGCCCCUUGUGAAAGGCCUUUCCUGGAUGUGAGGAAAUCUCCCCUGUGGUCCUACCUCCUCACCCUGGGUCCUCUAGUACCCAGGUAAUUUCCUUGGGAACAAUUCCUAGGCCAGAAGAUCUACCUAAGUUAGACACUGUGUCCUUUCUGCCUGACACAAACUGAGCCUCGGAUAUGAAACUUCGAUGUCAGCAGAAAGCCUUCCUGAGAUGCACCCUGCCCGCCCUGCCCCCAUCUCACAGCUCGCUGACUUGUGGUCCAAAGGUCUCACAUGCCCAAGGCAUCUGGUGGACAUCAUCCACAGCUUCCUGUCAGGAGCCCUCUGGACAGAGUGGCCCACAUUUCUUGCAUGCAGCAAGAACAUCCCAGAGAAAGGCAACAUACUGGCCAGAUGUGAAAAUGCAAAGACUUCUCCCGCUUGGCUCUGGAUGAAGGAAGACACAAACAGGCGGUCUGUCUUCCUCAGCCCAGGCUCUCCCUAGCAUGUCCACUCAAGUCCUGUCAAGGGGGUGACACCACAGUAAUGGACCAUCUGUUUGGAGACUUUGUAUCUAGUAGUACCUGAACAAACCACUUAGUCAUCCCAUCCUCAACAAAGUCUUUUAACCACAGCCACGUCUAAACUGGCCCUCUUGCUACCUUGUAGCGAUCAUGAUGAUUUGCAUCCUGUGGGCUGUCCACAGUUGGAAUGCACCCAGAAAGCACCCAGAAUACGUUAAAAUUGCCUACAGAUUCGUCAGAACCUAAAACUUUAAGUAAAGACGGGAACAGUAAGUCUUGAUACAGUUACAGUUUCUGAUACACCGAAGUGCACAAACUGCAUUGUUCCUUAGAGCAAUGUAAAUCAUGGGUCAUUAAGACGCACACAAUUAGGAGGCACACGCUUAAUCGCUUAAUCGCAACUCAUGGCAAGAAAGGGAGAGAUCAUGAAUCAGGACAGAAAAUAAGAGGCUGUGGUGAGAAGGAACCUAAGGCCUCGGAAGCCUCAGAGUCAGGAUCCUAAUACCAUCCUUGCGUCGGCCAUCACAAGGAGCCCCAAGUAACGCAAUCGGUUUGCUGUCGAACUGCGUUGAGGGUGAGAUUUGAACCCAGAACACUAGGUACAGACUCAUGAAUUCUAAUAAACUAUAGACCCACUCUGUCCAAACCGUCACUUCAUGUGCAUGAAUCACCUCCUUGUCCUCUUUAUACACAAACAGUGCUUUGAUUUAGUUUGUGGAUCUACUCUGGUAGAAACUGGCUCCCCCUGACUCCACCUCUCCAUCAUUAGGCCUGACCAAGGACAGAGGCAACCACGGUUGCCAUACGGAGAUGAAUUGUUUCACAGAAAGGUUCGUGUACAGAAGGCAUGCACCAGCUGUUUAGGCACAGCAAUAGGCGAUGCCUACAAGCCAGGCUGGUGGCAUGCACCCUCAACACUCCUGUUAGAAGUCUCAAAAGGAUGGUCUCAUGUCACGGGGUGUCUUGGUUAGGGGUCUAUUGCUGUGAAGAGACACCACAACCAUGGCAACUCUUAUGAAAGAAAACAUUUCAUUGGGGCUGGCUCAUAGCUCAGACGUUUAGUCCAUUAUCAACAUGGUGGGAAACAUGGCGGCGUGCAGGCAGACAUGGUGCUGGAGAGGCAGCUGAGAGUCUGUGACACACUUUCUCCAACAAGGCCACAUCUACUUCAACAAGGCCAUAAUUCCUAACAGUUCCUUAUGGGCCUAUGGGGGCCAUUUUUACUCACCCCCUUCCCUCUGGGAAGGGACAGAGCGUGAAGCUGGAAUUGUAGUCUUUUCAGCAUUUGGGAAGAAGUUGGCUUUGAUUCACACCAACACAGAGGCAACCGCAGUUACCCUAUGGAUAUGAAUUGUUCCGCAAGAGGAAUCAUGUACUGAGUACCCAGCUGGCAUUGCUGCUGAGGGGUGAUCAAUUAAUGAAGGUCCCGAACUCCCAGUGGACAGACUGAUCUGUUGACACAUCCUUCCAUGGCAUAACUGGGAGAUGGUAGACACUUGGGGUAGACCCUCCUGGAGGAAGUAGAUGUGACGGAGUGCUCUGGAAGGGUAAACCUUCUCCCCUCUCUCCUUGCUCGCUACCCAUUGUAUGGUGAGCAUCCGAGCUCCACUAUACUCUCCAGUGAGCCCUGUAUUUCAUGAUACAGCUCAGGAAAGUGUAAUCACUAAAAGUAUAAUACGAAAUAAAUCCUUACUCCCUUAUGUUGCUCAUAGCAAUGAACCACUGACUAACACAGUAUUGUGUCAGUGUGUACAUGUGUAUUCAUAGGUGUGUUAUAAGUCUUCAGAGUUAGUUGUGUAAGAACCAAGGAAAGGGAAUGUCUUACUCCUGUGCCUCUCUCAGAAGAAAUCUACAUUUAGUCAAGUUGCAAAGGAUUCUAGGAGCCAUUCCUUGUGUUUCUGAGUUCGUUAUCACAACUUGAAGGUCACCUCUCCUUCACUUGAAACAGCGGUGCCCACAUAUUUCACCUUUAUUUCCAUAAAGAUAACAUGAACUGCCCCUUAGAGAUGUUCUGCAAACACUUUCAUCACUGAUCACGGCCCAAGGAAACAAAAGGAAGAUGGAUUUUAACCUUCUAAUGAUGCCUAAAGGGGAAAACCCAAGAGGUUCAUAAAAAUAGAAAAGUUGAAGAAGCGAGGGAAAGAGACAAGCAGUUAAAUGAGGGAAACAUUCAAAUCAGAGGCUGUCCCUGUCUUCAGGCAUCUCAGUAAGAAAUUGUGUGAGCCACCUCAAGGCAUCGAGCCCAGGGCCUUCUUGUGUACUGGGUGCUCAUUGGAGUCGGGCAGCCACUGGAGGCCAGCUGAGUCUCAGAAGGAGUCCAGGACAUAGCCCCCCUGCCACCCCGGAUGUGAUCUCACCUGAUGGCCAAAGGCUGCCAGACACCUUGAGAUGGUCUAAGCCACUAUCUCAUCCUAAAGUAGGGAGGACUAACCUGCAGGAGGCCUGCUCCAAGUGCCUCUAAAGCUAGGACAGAGUCUGUGUCAACAGCAACACAAGAGUUCUACAGGGAAUCUCAGUGGCAGGAAUAGAAGCAGGACACAGCCAUGAUCCACAGGUGAAAGAGGAAGGGAGGAGGGGCCAAAGUUGAUGGUGAUGACGACGAUGAUGACGACGAUGACAACAACAACAAUAAAGCUGGGGAGAUGGGGGAGCUUUGAAUUCUGAAAGUUACCCUAUAUGUCAUUCUCAAUGCUGUCCCCACCGCCGGCAUGGCUUGGGUCUUGAGUGCUGAGGAAGGGCUAAAGUAGUUUCUCAUUGAGUUCUCACAGGAUUGCUUCCUGCAAAGGCCUAGGCUUAGCAAGGUAAAACCCGGAACCCAAAUAAAUGUAUGUGUUCAAAAUAGGCAGCACAAAGAGCUGACUCACUAGUGUUGUGAAGUGAUUAGCAGGAUGGAUUGACGCACCCUCCGCUGUUCCUGGUUCCCUCGGAUGCUGGUGACAAUUAAGAUGGCCCCCUCCACACAGUGCAGUGGUAUCUGCAGUCACUGCUAGGUCAUCAUCAGAUAGUGCAGAUCUCUAGAGCUUGGUUCUCUUGGGUUUCUGCCUUCUAACCAACAUUCCCUUUAUCUUCCUGACUCGGAGACCUACUGGGGUGCUUCCUGCUGCUAUGAGUUUGAUUUUGGUGGUUGUUGUUGUUUAAAUGCCACAGACGCACAGCAGGGUCGUCGAGUAUUAAAUCUGCCCGUUUUAUUCCUUGUAAAAGUUUGAACACUGGGGAUAUCAUAAAGAUCCAAGUGUCAAAGACCUGGUCUCCUAGAUGUCCAUAUCAAAAGUGCAGGGACUUCUAUGAGGUAAGGCUUUGUGGGAGAUGCUCAGGUCAUUGGGUGUGUACCCUCCAAUGUAGUCAGACAACACCAGUCUAUUCGUCUCUCCAUUCCAUGACUCAUGACUGAAGUGUUUCUGCUCCUAUCACACACUCGUGACUUUUCCUCCCUCUGUGUUUGUCUUUCUUUAUUUGAAUUAUCGGAGAUCAAACUUAGGGUCUUCUAGAUGGCAUGCAAGGGCUCGUCAGCUGAGCUAUACUACCUGACGCUAGUCUCAGAGCAUUGGGAGCAAAUGGUCACGUGCAAGAAUAUCCAAAGCUAUAAAAGUAAUGGUUUUCUUGUUGUAAAUCGGUGAUUAUAUCAGCUAAGUAAUUAUAGUCACAGAGAGCUUGGCCUAGUGCCCUUCAGAUUCAUCCAUGCUGUAGUAAGUACCAGGACUCUCUUCUUUGAGGCUACUAUUCCUGGUAUACAGUGCAUCUUCCUCAUCAGAUCACCCAUCGAUGGACACGUAGGCUGAUACCAUUCCCUGCCUUUCAUCAAUAAUGCUGCAAUGGACAUGCCCAUGACCAGUCUAUCCCGAUGAUUUCCUUUGUCCAUGUUGUUUAGAUAAGGGAUUACCAGAUUACAAAGUAAUUUGGGACCUUCUAUGCUAUUUUGAAUAAUGAUACCAUUUUCCAUUCCUACCUACAGUGUCUAGGGUUCUCCCCCCACCCCCACCACAUUCCUGUCAUUCUCUGAACUAGGUUUUCGAGGGACAUUCAGGAGCUUGCUUGAUCCAAAGGGAAUCCCAGGAGGAUGAGACUUUGGGCCUGGCACAGGCUAAUGAAAACCACCAGCCCUACAUCCACUGCUUACAGGAAGAAACAAAACUGGUGAGCUGUGAACAGAGCCCCAAAGUAAUGGCCCAAUUUACCUUUGAAAUAUAAUAAAAUGUCUUUUAAGCAGGAGAUUAGAGACUUUCUUGGCAUAAUCCACAGCACAGGACAGCUCUGGAGUAAAUUUACACCCUGUCCUUCCCGCUCCCCACCCCCCUCCUUUGGUGUUCCAUUAUCAAUCUCUCAGCGGGGCUGGGAUUUCAGCAGAAUUGGAAAUAACAGCAUUCUGCAAAUCCCUGCGCGGUCCUGCUGUCCCCCCUUCUCCCCCAUCACACGCGGAUGCCUCUGAGCUGUUGCAGAUUAAAGGUAAUUCUCGGUCAUUACUGGUGUCAUUUAUCACCCUCCCUGCGUGUUUCUUUUGUGCAAACCUUGAGGAAGCCUCACUCAUUUGUGGAAGUUCAGACUCUAAGUGGAGAAUGAAGCUGUGGCCUUUUUUCCUUCUUUUUCUCUUUCCUGGGCAGUACUUCUAGGUGUUUCUUAGGAUACAGCCCCUUCCACUGCUGCGACGAUGACAGCCAGGGCCAAGCUUGUCAGGAGACAAAAGACAAGGCCAUCUAUCACCAUCAUUUGGAAAUCUCAUCUAGCGAAGGAUUUAUGAUCUGCUGGGGUUCAGAGGAGAUUAAAAGAAAACAAAACAGAGGUUGAAUAAAGAAUGUCUGCUGGCACAUGAAGACGAGAGGGAUUUCAGAGGAGACCCGAGGUGAUUGGCAUGCAGUCAGACGUGCCACAUGACCCAGGACACUGUGCCACACCGGCGUGGUCGGGGAGAGUUGGAGACUGCUAAGUGGCAUGGUUGUGCCAUUUGAAGAGCGGCCCACCUCCGGAACAUCUGAUGUGGACAGGAGAGAGGGGCAUGCAUACAGAACUGUGGAACCAGACUCUUAUGGUCAACAAGCUAUCCUAUAGGCUAGACACAAUGACAGCCUCGUGCCUCAGCCUUCCUGGUUUUCCAUGAAGGGGUUGGUUGUUAUGAUCUUAAUUCAAGAUGUAAACCUAGAACUCCCUCCCCGUUAGAAAGUAACCAACAUUCAGUAAAUGCUAGGCUGGCCUCCCAAAAGCCACCAGUGACCCACUCUCAUUGAACUGUCAAGAAGGGUAGAGAAGUUACCAAGACUAUUUACAAUAGCCUCAGUACAGGGGUGCUGCUGGAAUGUGUUAUUGCCACACAUGUCGCCAUGCCAACAGCAUCUCUCUAGUCAUCCUAGCCGUUCCAGAGAGCCAGGUCUUAAACUGGACGGGUGAAACCUCUGUCUUAACUGGUUAUCAGACUGGUGGCUUAAGGGACACUUUGUAACCUAUAAAUGUACUGGUUUUGCCUGAGUGGAAUUUAGAAAUGACUCAGCUGCAUAGCUCACUACAACUUGUGCUUCUUUUAAAUGACACACACACGGGGCUUGCCUUAGAGAAUUGAUACAAGUUCACCUCACCUAGUGCCUACAGUUUUGUACGGUGACUCUCGGGGGGGACUGAACAACAGAACCCACCUCUUCUAAAUGUGGACCAAAUACGUCCCAGAUUUCCCCAGUGGCUUAGCAGGCUUCUUACAUCCACUGUAGCUUGUCUGAAUCUUCUAGGGACUUAAGAUUCUUGUCUCUUCUUAUAGGUUCCCUUGGGUGAUGCACCUCCCAGAUACAGUUUCUUCCUCUUACAAUGUAAUUUGAUGAGAUACACCCCUCCACAGCUCCUUCUGGGACCAACACCCCCCCCCCUCCGCCCCCAGCUACCCAAUGGAGCCUCUCUUAAAAAUCCACCAAGUCCAGUCUCUGCUGCCCACAUACUCUUGGCUAUGUGGCCUUCACUGGAGGGUGGUCCACUCACCGGGGGUUGCCCUCUUGAAGAAAACUGAUAUGCCCCCUUUAGCAAUUAUUACUUCCCAAUAGCUGCUGAGAUGGGGGUGGGCGCUCAUGCCCUCUUCUCCUCUCUAGGCUGGAUUUUUGUUUUGCGUGAGCUUGUACAGACCUUGCACGUGACGCCUCAGCUGCUGUGAAUCCACACGUGCAACUGCACCACGGUAUCCCCAAGACACUGUUUUCCUGUCGCUAACUCCUGCUCUGAUCUUCUUACAAGCUCCCUUCCCCUUUUAGUGCAUCUGUCAACCCUCCCUAGAGAGAAGCUUCCCUUGGCAGUCGACAGUGAUCCACACAGACACCCACAACUGCUCAAGGUACAGAGAGUCAGAGACUCUGCAGUGCUUGGUCUGAAGGAGACAUCUUUGGUCUUACAACCUCUCCUCCCAAGGCACAGGCGUCCUCAGGGAAGAAGAGCUGGGAAGAACGUAAGAGUCAGAUGCAUAUUUUAAAGCUCCAAACUGGUCCAAGGAGGCGCUCCUGCUGGUAAAAUGCGCACCUGCGAGUGGCCCUACUGUGUGCAGAACUUCCAGGAGAACCACAGGUUUGCUCUAAAUCUUACAAAAAAUGCUUCUUGCUUUAUUGGCUUCGUGAGGGACAGGGAAAGCCCAUACUCGCUCUUCCUCAGGUUACAGCUAUGUCAGGGAGGUACCAUGAGUCAUGAGUAAGUUACUCGGGUGUGGAAAAUGAAAGACUCUGAUUAGGAGGAUGCUUGUGAACAGAUGACAAAUGUAGAGGGUGACGUCAUUGCAGUCAAAGUCUCCAUAUUUACAAACAUAUGCACUUACUCUAUCAUUUCACUACCUAAACUCUCCUCACCUUUGUCACUUUUCUCACAUAGAAAGCCACUUACUUAUAGCUCUGGUGGCAUCACUGAGAGCAUUAAGGUAACAUCCAUUGUCAAGACACUUUACUGCCAUCUGCUGGUAGAAACAUGCCAUUACUCACUACAUACUCUGGCUAAGAUGUGAAUGGUACCCCAUCCAUCAGCUCUGAUUUGGACAAUGUCUGACCACUCCCAACAACCUGUGAGCUCUGAGCAUCUCCACGAGGGGGAGCAGCGGAAAGCGGUUGCUACGUUGUUUUGAAGAAAGAAGUUUAAGGAUAACUUUAAUACUCAAAAGAGAGUGGAGUUUCUGCGAAUUAAUUAUCUCUUUCCCCAGAGCACUUUAUUCCUUUCUGUGGUUGUGAAAACCAGGCUUUGAAUUCUAUUCUGACCUGACUGUGCUAGAAGGGACAUGGGGAUGCUAUGUCGUCGUAAAUGUUUGAUAUGACUAUGAUUUUACUGCUCCCCAUAUCUGCCAGAACCAGCUUCUUCAGCCGACAGUGAAGAAAACAGAGAAUGCCUACCAGCAAGGCUUGUAUUACUGUCAGGGGGAAUGCUUGAUACAGCACAAUCAACAGCGAUAUUAACUGCUGUUGACUCCGGAGGUGAUAUUAAUUAUUGAUGCCGUUCCUGUGAUCUCACGUUCUUCCCAAUGUGCAGAGACAUUGUUACUCUAGUUUCCCAUCUUACAAUCACCAUUAUUGAGACGUUUCUAUGUCACAGAGGUAGACCAGAGUCUGAGUCUGCAACUCUGCGAACAGGUACCCUGUGGCCAAGGGCGGAGCCAGUGCCAGGCUUAAACUAGUUAAGAUAGUCUGCUUUCACACUUGAACUGGGCCUGAUGGCUCCCUGGACCCUUGAAGUCUUAUGGAGGUCUGUUGAUGAUAUUGUCAUAAUGCCAUAAAGGAAAUGGAAAUCAUAGAGUAAUGACACAGAGAAUGGCUUCUUGGUCCUCUAUCUACAUCACUGUCCUACUGACGUCAUGGCGACUUCAACAGGAGAAACGCACUGGCUAAGAGAAUCCGCUUCGGGAACUAGCUGAGUUGCUGACCGCAGAAGGGCACAGCGCAUGUGCAGAAGACCCUUACGCGCCAGAGAGGUCUCUGCUCAAAGCACAGUGCUGACAGAGCACGCAGCCCAAGCCUUUUCUUCCUAGCAUCUGUUUAUACAAAUUCUGACCAGGUGGCAAACUCUUCCCCUCUGCUCUCAAGCAACAGGAUGCAGGACAGAGAACACCUGUUCCAAAACUGCUCUGAUUAGCUGGAAGCUGGCAGGUAUAGCAAGGGCUGAGGGCCACUCGGCAGGAGAGGAUCCUGCUGCCUUGUCAGCCCUUGGCUCUGCUCCUGAUCUUGGCUGUAGUCCCUGUCGGUGGCUAAUGGGAUUGAUCCACGGGCAUAAAUCUUUAAACUCCUGCUGGCAAGUGCGACGUUAUCUUAUCCAAGGCCACCACAGUGUGCCACUGCUAUCUAAAAGCAAAUGUUUCCAACUUGAGGAAGAUACUGGAGGUGCAGGUAGGGGUGUGAUGCCCUCCGCUCUCACACAGCUUCCGGGGAAAGUGUGUCAUUCAGGUGAUUGUGCAUGCACACGUGAGUGGACGUCUUUCAUGAUUUAUGUAUGCGAGUUUGCUUAGAGAAGGUAAUGAUAACCAAGUCAGCACGUGCUGGUUGGAGAAAUAGAAGCAACACUCCCAGGGGAAACUUAGGGGAGCAAUAAAUAGAGGGGGAGGUGAAGAACACUGUGGGAGAGUAUCCUAGACAAGGGAGUGUGUGCAGGACGGAGGAGACCGAAGCUCCAUGAAGAAGGAACAACAUGGGAGAUUGGAGAUGGGGUCUGAAGGGAAAGGACAGAGCUCAGGGAAGAAGGGACAGAAGAGCCGAAGUGGGAGGAGUGGGUGAGAAGCUGGUGUGUCGUUGAAAAGCCCCAUCAGGACAGCCCACUGCAGCAUGCAUGCACUGGACACUCCUUAGGGUGUCUCAGCCAUGGUCCCUCAACCCAACAGGCACACACAUUUCGGCCGGCCCUUUUAGGUUUCUAAGGAUAGAAAACUCUCACACAGAAUGCUGUCAUGUUAGUAUCUGCUUGCUGAUACUAAAGCACUGAUCUAAACUUGACUCACAACAGUGAUAAGAGGGAAAUUCUAGAUUUUGUUGUUGUUGUUGUUGUUGUUAUUUACAGACAUAAAAGUCAAAGGGCAGCAUGAACCUAAGUCAGAGAUAGAAUAUAGUCAGUGUGGUUAAGAAACUUAGAAAAUAAUUAUAGAAUGUUAGAGCCAAGGAAGGGAUAUUUGGAAGCUUGCAACCAACGGAGUUUGGUGUGUGCUCAAAACUGCUCAGGAAAUGAAGGUUUCUGUGAAUCUUCUAAUUUCAAUGGUUCUUAAAUCACACUCCCUGUGAUUUGAGGUUGCUCUGGGUUUUGUACAGCAACUCUGUAACUCUAAACUGAAGAGUCCACCCAUUGUGAAUGUGAACAUGAACGUAAGUCUAAUUUAUUAAGCAGGUGUUAUGCUCUGUGAACAGUUGUGAAUGGAUGGAUGCAGGGAUGAGCAGUAUAUUAAGAAAAAUACAAAUGGAAUGACUUGACCUUUCAUCAUCGAGAGCAGAAGGACCGAUGCUUAAAGAUGUAUUUAUUUUUAUUUUAGGCGCACAAACGAUGUGCCAGCAGGAGUGUCUGUGCAGCACAUGUAUCCUCCGCCUAUGAGACCAGAAAAGGGAAGCAGAUCCCUUGGAGCUGAUGUUACAGACCGUCCUGUGCUGCCACGAGGGUGCUGGGAACCAAACUCGGUCCUCUACAUGAAUAUCAAGUACUCUUAACUGUUAAGCCAUCUCUCCAAAACCCGGGACUGAAAUUUAAAGGGUAGAGAAAAAAAAAAAAACCAAAAAAACCAAAAAAACAGUUUUCUCUUCCUCCUUCCCUAUGUCCUAUUUUCUUCGCAUCAAGAGAAGGAUAAAAAUAGCCCUGGCCUUUUGCUGACUUCUGAGGGAUGUGGGAACGGAUAAAUGCGUUCGGGUGUGUCAAGCUCCUGAAGUUCCUUAGGGAGAAGCCACAGGUUUUAAUGUCAUAAUAACAAGCUACUUGUUAAGCUGUUGCUCCUCUAAACAUAUCAUAAGUAUCUUCAAACCAAGGUUGGAGCAGGUCACGUGCCCAAUAGCAAACUUCUGCCAGCUCACCUGGCUCUUAGCCUGGUGCUUCUCUGGGGCUCAGUGUGGGCUAAUACUGAAUCUGAGUUUAUUUAGGUUGAGUGGUUUGAGCUGGAGGUGUGAUGUCUUCCUGCAGGGAACUGAAUAGGAGCAGGGAUGGCCCUGACGCCAUCUUCCUCUGUCUACUAGACUCCAGGAGAGAGGGGGCGGGGUAGGGAGAGGAAAACAGUGGAUAUCAAGCUUUUCCAAGCUUGUAACACUUUUUUUUUUGUAGGAAGUAACACCACAUUUCUCAUGCAUGUCUCCAUGGAAAAACGUAUUGUUCUGAUUAGAAAACACACAUCAAGGUCCCCACCUCAAUAAAGAGAAGUAAAAUAAAAAUAAAAGCUUAUUCAUUCUCUUAAUAUUGAUCCAGACAAUAUAUCUAGAUUUGCCUGGAUUCUAGAUGUAGAAAGGUCUUCUCUACAUAGAGUUAAAUACAGAAAAGAAUAUGAAAAGUAAUGUUUUCUGCAAUAUGUAAAAUAUUAAGCACUGGAAAAAAAAGAAAGACACUGAUAAAUGGGACCUUGCAGUCUCAUGAUAUCGGUCAGAUUUUUAAAAAGUCAUCAUACCGCCAUUGCGUACCUGGGCUUGAACACGCACUGGGAAGAACACAGCAGAAGUAAGACAUACGUGAGCAAAGAAACUAAAACCGUAACUUCACACAAGUUAGAAGCCAGGCUGUACCUAUGUACAAUAGCAUUUUUUAAUAUAUGAACACACCAUAUGCUUUUAAAAUAUCAAGUAUAUGAAGCUGCAUUUGUGCGGAGCCAUAUUCUCAUUUCCGUUCAGGACACCACCCUUUGGAAGUUCCCUUCUCCCAGAUUCUGCGCAGCUUAAUUUCUCCUUCCCGGGAUGGUUCUGUUUCAACUGUCUUCACUUUAUCAACUUAGACCAAAAAAAAAAAAAAACCCUGCUAGUCUCUGAAGUGAAACUUCAGGAAGCAUUUUGUCCUCUAGAUGGGACCUUGUCCUCAUUAGAAUUGGGAAAAGAAAAUGUAUUAGCUACUUCGCUCUUUGCUGUGACCAAACCCUGGUCACAAAGCAGCUUAAAGGAGGAGAAGAUACUUUGGUUCAAGGUUGGAAAGGAUCUGGUCCGUCAUGAUAAAGAACGCUUGGAAGCAGGGGCGCCAUGGUCGCCAGGAAACAGUCUCGAGGGCUGGUUCUCGGCUGGCUUUCUCCUUUCCCCCUUUGUUUCAGCCUGGGGCCCCAGGCCAUGGCCUGGUUCUACUCAGAUUCAGGGCUGGAAAAGCCCCUCUCUCUCUCACACACACAUACACCUAACGGUGUGCCUCCCUCAUCAAUACCUCAGGUAUCCAAGUUGACAAUCAAACUCAGUUACCACAGGAAAUACGCAGCUUUGCUUCGAGGGAGUUCCUUUAACGCAUUGAGUAUUGUUUCUCCAUCCUUGGCUCCAGAGCAGCCUUCUACCUUGUCCUACAGGAGUGAAAUCUGACUUUUGUAGAUGCUUAGGAAAUUCAAGAUAGACUACACAAACACACUAUUCACAUCCUCUAUUGUUACCAUGAUAAACUUAAUUAUUUAUUUCUUUGAUUUUUUGUUUUGUUUUGUUUUGUUUUUCAAGACAGGGUUUCUCUGUGUAGUCCUGGCUGUCCUCAAACUCAGAAGUCCGCCUGCCUCUGCCUCCCAAGUGCUGGGAUUAAAGGCAUGCACCACCACUGCCUGGCAUCUUUGAAUUUUUAAGGCACAGUAUUUGGAGCGUGACGGCCUGGGGUGAGACCACAGAACACAUAUUUCUACUCUGUGACUAUGAAUACAUGCAGGUCUUUGUGAGCCAGGAACAUUGUAACACCUGUCUUUGAGUUUUUUGAGGGUAGCUUUGUGCCCUUCAGGUAGCCCUGCAAAUGGUAGCUAUUACAUAAUGAUCGCUUUCUUCCUGUCUCCGUCUUAUCAUAGUAUGUGUCAGGACCACAUCACAUUAGAACAUCAUAGGUCUACAUAAGCCAGCUCUCCCUGAUUCAGGAGCACUUCCCUUGGAACACUUGAGCAUCGAGUAUAGAAAGAUAAGAAGCCAUCCUUACAGACUUAGGAGAAACUGGGGAAAGGAGAGGAAUACGAUCAAAAUAUGUUGCAUGAAACUCCCAAAGAAUUAAUAAGAAUACUAUUUUUGAAAGGAAAGAAACUGUCUUUAUUCUUUAAGUAAGAAUGUGAGUCCAGUGUCGAUGGUAGAUAUGGAUGCUCAUGGUGCAGGAGCGGAGAAAGGAAACCCUGAUGACCGCUGGGUGGUUUGAUGGCAUUUUAUUCUCCUGGUCCCAGACGAGGAACAAUAGAGAGGUGUGACAGAAGGCAGAUGGUAAACAUAGGUGCUGGCGAAAGCCUUGGGUCAGACAGAUUUGUGUUGUCAGUAUUAUAAACUCUCCUCAACAACUGCAGCCCUUUGUAGAAAGCCUGGGCCUUUAGGACAGAGGGUGUGAAGGAGUCAAAAGAGGAGGACCGAGGGCUGAGUAUUGUUCCGUAGCCGAGAAAAUCUGUUCAUCCAUUUCCUGAGAAAGGCAAGGUAGCAGGGAGGGUCAGAAAGUAUCUCCCUUCUUGUCCCAGGAUGUCAGCACACAGUACUGAUGAUCACGGGAUGUGAGUCUAUAGUCCAGGCUGUGGUCAGAGUGUAAGAGACAGGGAAGGGCUCCUGGAGAUGCUUCACGGGGACAGAUAGGAAAGAUAGGGAGGGAGAAACUGAAGGACGCUUUAGGCAUCUCUACAGGCAGAAGAAGAGCCAAAGCCGGUACUGUAAGCUUGGACGAAAGGUGCUUUGAUGCCGCUGGUGUUUUAAAUUCAAGAAUUCAAAGUGGAAGUGGCAAGGGCCCCAAUUCUGGGUAGAUAGGCAAGAGAGGAGAGGGUAUCCAGGGUUCCUGGGGCUGUGUCUUUGGCAACGGGAAAUAUUAAAAGCUUUGAGCAGUGUUUUCUAUUGUUUGUGUGGCCGAGAAGAGGAAAGGAGAGAAUUAAAUAAUGAAGAUAUUCUAGUAAUUCAGAUGUAGAUGGCAGGGGCUUGAGUCAGGAUUGCCAUGUCAAAACCUAAAAACGUGGAUGGAUGUGAGAAGCGCUCUGGAGGUCCCACGGCCUAACUGAGGAAGCGCCUGCUGCUAACUGGGGUUUCCUGCCUCUUUCUGAGUUGUGCUGAACCACCUGUGUGGUCAUUUGCUAGGCACCAUGCUAUGCACUGGUCGACAGGUUCAUUCGAAGAGUAAUCCCAUGAGGGCAGGUAACUGGGAAUUCUUAGUAAAGAAGAAACUGAGGUAUGGAGGGAGCAUGUCUAUGAUCAUUCAGUGAGUAGCUGAGGAUGGUUAGAAAUCACAUUUAGACAGCCUGACUCCAAAAUGCUUGCAACUAACUAACUAACUAACUAACUAACUAACUAACUAACAACUAACUACAGGUCUUCAUGCGAACCUGUGCCGGUACUCCUCAGUACCAUUCCGUUGUUAGCGCUGAUGCUCUGAGCUCUCCUGCCUUUCUGCUUCCUUCCUCCUCUCAUUCUGUCAACGCCUCUCCACCAUGGCUGGUUCUGGGGCUUUUCUAUGGCUCAGAUCCUGAGCCACGCACCUUCAUAAUACAUUUUUAUCUUGUUUUAUUCUGUCAAAAAGAAACAUAUGGACAAGACAGGAGAUCCAAACAAUCUAGAUGGGAAGACAGUACAAGGUAGACCUUCCUGGCAUCAUUUCUCCAAAGGGAAUUAUUGUUAUUUGAUAAAACACUGAGCUAAAGAGAUACAAGGUCAAGGAGCACAUACUAUUUAGGUGACUAACAGAAGGCCUUCCCAUCUUCACUUUCUUCCUUCUCCACAUUUUCCCUUUUACCCAUAAUACAGUGUUCCAGAGUUAAUCACAUAAUUAAUUCAAGUUGUUUCAUAAGUGUUGGCUUAUAUCAUUGGAUACAAUGAUUUUCCAUAUUCAGCCUAAUACUAGACACAUAGUAGGUGUUCAAUAACUACCCGCUGAUUAAUUGAUGCUGAUUAAUUAAACCUUGAAUCAAUUCAUACUAGCUUAACUGACAUGGUUCAUGCAAACCUUGAAUAGAGGCCCUUCUCGUCCCUCUUUUACAUGGUUAGUUCUGCAAUAGCAUCUACCUAAUUGGUCAUAUGUCUCUUUUUAGAACUCUGUAAGAGCAGCGGGAAAAGCUACUGUAAUAGACGCUGACAUUCUAGUAACAACGCCACUAAAAAUCUAAUGCUGAAGCUAUUCAAGUCUCAUUGCGCUGGUCAUGCAACACAAAUUUGAGGAGAGUGGCUAUACAUGAUGGGAACAGACAGGGCAGAGCCCUCCUCCUGCUUGGCCCUAACAAGAUAUUAUUUCUGUCACUUCUACCUAUUUAUGUGAGGCUAUAUACUCAUAAGAGCCAAAUAUUAAAUGCUGGCUUUCUUCCAUUCCUAAUAUUACAUUACAAUGUGACCAUCAGACACUUGUAACUCACUCUUCAGGCAGAUGCAUCUCAAGCAAUCUGUCAGCGAAGGAGAAGGACCGACUGCUUCUUCACACCGUGGUGCAACAAUGCUUUUAUUUACUAAUGAUGCAGAGUCACAUGUUCUUCUUCGGAUUUGGCACCUCUUCUGCUGAACUAAUUUCUCUUUUGUUCUCCUGACACUUUCCAGUCCUGGAUUAAAAUGCCUAGGGUUCUGCUUCCAGGGCAGUAAGUUUUGAUCUUUAUUUAUAACGGCAGCCAAAGUUCCGGGAAAGAGUUCAUGAGGGCUUCAUGCGUCUUAUAAACUCCAAGAAAACUUGCAUUUCAGAGAAGGUGGGUAUCCAGUUACUAGGGAAUGGGUUACAAAAUGUGACCAGCGUAGAGAUGGGGCAAUAAAUACAAGCUCAACUAAUAGUCACCAUAGCGAAACAAAGAGGUGGCAGUGUGACAGACAUUCAUGACCCAUUCAAAAGCAAAGGACAGCAUAGGUGGUGGAAAAGGACAACUUCUUCCCUAUACAAGCCAGUGAAUCAUUCUGUUUAACAAGUGGACUAGGAGAGGUGAAGGGUCUCCACUGAGGUCAAUAAAAAGUAAGUUUGCAACUAGGGAAGAAAAUAGUUGACCCUAAGUAGCAUUGUGAAAAAAUGAUCUUGGAAGAGUCUUGUUCGCUUCUAUCCCUUUAAAAAGAGAGACCAUGAGAUGACUGCAGUGUGAUCGAGAAUAUCUGUAGCAUUGUGUCCUGUGUGGGCUGCGGAAUAAACAAAUUGUCUCAUCAUAGAUGCAGUAGUGAGUAGGUUAUUUAAUUACAUCGCUGGGCUGUGACUUCCCGGGUGCCCCCCACCCCCACCACAACAGUGUAGGAAGAAAGCAGAGACAUACUAGCUCGAGGUAGUGGGGAAGAGAAGAGAAGAAAGUGGAGCAGGAGGCAUUCCGAGGCAUAAGCAAAGGUAGAGAGCACCUUGACCAGGGAUGACAAACUGUGAAUGUGGACGUGAACCUGAGCAGAACCAAGAGCCUACAGCCAGACGUUGGUCAUGUGUGUAUAUGCCCAAAGCUGUGUAAAUGGGUAUGAGUGUGUGUUGUGGCAAGAAGACAUCUGACAUUAAAGGAGAGCUGGGAGUCUGGAAAGCCCUCUACAGAACCCGGACCUUAGCGUGAAGGUAAGACACUACAGGAAGCCUUUAAGGUAUAGAAGUGGCAUGGGAAUCCUCGUGAGGUCAGAAUGGAGGAUGACUUUGGGAAGGAGCAGAAGGAGUUCAGCCAGGAAAUAGUUCCUGUGCUCAGUGGUGAGGACCCGAACAAGAGGGGUCAGCGGUGAGCAGGAGAGGAGUGGAGACUAGAGCAAUCUGAACUGCAGGGGACGGACAGGACUGGUGACUGCAGGGUAGGUGACCAAUAGAUGUGUGAAAGGAACAUAGGAGAAUCUGGGCUGUUAGUUUGAUGGUUACUCGGGAUUGUCAACGUGAUUGAAUGCAGAUCCACCUAGCACAGGAUGCCUCUGAGCAUGUCAGUGGGCUAGGAAGAUCCAUUCAGGAAGUUGGCAGCGCCACCCCUGGACUGUUGUCCUGGACUGAUCAGAAAGAAGAAAACCUGUAAAAGGCCCAGAUUCAUCUCUCUCUGCUUAACUACACUUGCGUUAUGCUCCUAAAAACACAGCCAAGAUCUCUUCACUUCAUUUCUCCUCCACAAUGGACUGUAGCCCCAAACUCCGAACCCAAACAAAAUAAACUCUGCCUCACUUGUAUCACUUCUGUGAGAUAUUUUCCAAUGAGAAAAGAAAUAAUAUGAGUGCCAUGCUUGGGCGAGUGGUGAAUGAUAGGGCUGUUAAAGCCAGGAUUCAGAUAGAUGCAGAGAAACAUUUAAAACCAGGCCACAGCUUUUGACACAAAAAAACACCUGACUGGACAUGCCAGUGUCUCACUCUGUAGCUCAGGCUGGUAGGGAAUUCAUUAUGUUGCCUACUAGCCUUAAACUGGCAAUGAUCCUCCUGCCUCAGCCUCCCAAGUGCUGGGCUUACAAGCAUGGGCCCCCAUGCCCAGCUCCCAUGCUUUGCGAGGUCUUUUUAUUUAUCACCUAUUAAAAUAAGUGUACAGAUCCGCAGUAAUAUAGUAAUACCAAUUAUUAACCCUAUAUUAUUUGCUUAUACUAUGUAACACUUAUGUAAUUGUUACUGAUUACUACUCACUCAGCAUACAAAGGAGAGUUAGAAAACUCUCCUAGCAACAGCUGCAGUUUAGAAAUCCUAACUUGGGGCUCAAAAGCCCUGCAUUCGGGAGUCUCCAAGAGCCUGGGACUUUGGGGACAAAGCAGAGCAGACUUGGGCAGCUUAUGCACAAAGCUGCCAGGUGCUUGGGCUUAUUUCCUCUUAAUAAAAAAUUUAAAACAAGCCUUAAAAGGUUAUGGUUUAUUGGUUUUAAAUCCUACAGAGUAAGCAUUUCACGGUUUGAAGCAUUGAUUUUUUUUUCCUUAACUCAGUAGACGAACUGCGUAAAAUGAAAGCGCUUUUUAAUUGCAUUUGUUAUAGUUAUACUGUAUGAAAAUGCAGGGUAAGGUCAUUUUGGAAUCUUAGGAUACAAAGGAAAAAGGAAACAAUGUUGCAAUGUUCUCCCUGGCCGUCAUUCACUUAUUCACUGCUCUGUGCAAUUCUUCAACGGCUUCUUCAUGUCAAGGGCUCUUUGAGGUGAUGGACGUGUCACAAAGACCUUCAUGGCGAUGACUAGUUAGACAAGAUAUCUGGACAAUGCAAAUGGGAUCAGCAUCCUGAAACUUAUCAGGAUGACUGUAAGAUGGGAUGGCCGAGUGUAUAACACAGAUGGCAGUGUGGCUGGAGUUCAAAGACAGGGCGAGGCCUGGGAAGGUGGAGGAUCUGGAGCAGGAAUGGGAGGAAGUUCACUGGUAGGAUGGUCGGUGCAUCUUUAUGUAGGACUAUGAUGACAGGCAAGAUCUGGGUGCCUCUCUGAAAACCUCUUUAGGAUAGAUCCCCCCCUUUGACAUUACUGUGCUGCAGGACAGAAUUGUGUGCAAGGCUCUUGGUACAAACGCACAGGGUGUUCUGGGAGGAAAUGGUCCUCAUUUGGGAUGCGGGCGUAGGCGUUGUGUGGAGUACUUGGGUGGGGAUACUGAGCACUCUAAAUAGAUGAAAGCAUUUCUCAUAAUAAUUCUCAUGAUUAUGGUUUGCAGUCCUCCGACGGUUUUGGUGCUGAGUAUUUCAUGAGUUAUCAUUUGUAUUGGUUCUUGGUGUAUGUGUAUACAUGUGCCUGUGUUUGCAUAGGCUUUGCCACCUGCCUGGUCCUGUCUAAAUUCCCGGGUAGCAACCAACAUAAUCCCACCUUUAGAUCCUUAGCUUGGCUUUAGAUCCUUGACCUUAGAGUUCCCAUUCCAGCCUGUGUGAAAUUUGUCUCCUGAGUUCAGAUCUUCCGAAUAAGUCUCUCCAUUUGUGCUUCAGUUUCUCUUAAGAAGAAAGUCUUGCUUGUCCUCCAUCUUAAUUACAAAUAUAAGCAACAUUUCUUUUUAAAAAACAGCAGCACAAAGGCUUGUCACUUCCCCGCCCGAGCCAACCAUUGACUGAAAGGUCAAAGGUUCUGUGGGCUUCCUCUGGUCUUUUUAGAGACCAAUGAUGUCCUGAGGAAAUCUCUCAAUUCGGUAACUAGGGGAAGAGAUGCUGACGACCCACUCCCUCUGCAUCCUUCCCUCAUUUGUCUCAAUUUACAUAAUUGAAACCUCUUAAAUAUCCUUAUCAUCCGAUCACCUAUGACAUUCCCUUUCCUGCCUCUCUAAUUCUCUAUAUUGAAAAUGUAAGUGCUUUCUUUUCAAGAGCAAGCAUCUAUUGAUAUUACAAUAUCAUCUUUUGCUGUUAGACUUCAAAAUAAAAAAGGGAAUUGUUACUGAUAUCAAAAGUCCCCCUGAAACAGUGUACGGCAUCAGGUUAAAACAAAGAAAGCUGGCCUGCUCUAAUUACUUGCAGUACUGAAUGUUAAGGGACGGUCCCAUUUGCCUGGGAGAGGUUGCCGGCGAUGUUUAAGAUGAAAUAGAAGAGAGAAGCACACAGCAAGGCAUUCUGUAACAAUGGAGCUCACUCACUGUCUAAAGGGCAUCUUCAGAGGACUCUGUAACUGCCCUUUGAAUAUUAAAGGUGAGCUGCGUUAUAUGAGCUCUGUGGCUCCCUGCGGAAAUGGCAUGUCACACGGUAGGGCACAGGGCUGACUCAAAGCUCUUUUACAUCAAUACUAGUAUGCCAGACCCCAACGACUAGCUAGGUGUCAAGUUAAAGGAAAUAAAACAAUUUAAAGAAAAAAAAUCUGGGUCCUGUCUAAAACGUAACCAUCUACAUUUUUGGCACUUAAGGGAGGAAGUAUUGUACUGUCCCAGGAAUUAUGCUAAGGGUUUAUGGUACGUCGCUGCUGUCAGUUUAUCCAGAAGUUGUAUUGAGAGAGUUUAAUUUGGAAUGCUUGUUCUUCCAGGUCAGGCCUUGGUAAGUCAUGGCUAAUUCAGUAUACUCCACUGCUGGUCAAAGACAUUGUUUAGCAAAUAAAACCAACUCUUCAAAUAUACAAACUUCAGUCUUAUCUACUCCUCCCCAAACGCAUCAAUCAAUAAAUAGCAUCUACAAUCCAUAGUUUGUCAGGCAGAAGAGCCGGUGGUGGGGCUAGGCAUGCUUUGAUGAAAGGACGGAGGUGGAGAGGGUGGGUCAACAGCACUAGAAAUUAAAGCAGUUUAUCAAGCAGGUGACAUAAGAGAAGAGUUUUGCAGUGUGCCUGCCUGUUGAGCUGGACGAACUUUUGGCCUGGAACCAAGGAUUUGUCUCUGGACCUCCCUGAUCACCACUCUCACUAAUGAAAUGGCUCGUAUGUAUCCGCGCAGCAACAUCAAACAGACUAAUCUUAGGAAGCGUGGUAAGGUUCCUGGGACAGAGGCAGGGAGAGGAAGCCAACAAAGUUGCUGGCUGAUCCCACCAAACUGGUAAGUGGACAGGGCCUCCUGGGGCAAGCUACAGGGCCCUAAAGAUCCAUGAAGAGUUUUCAUCUUGAGAUUUCACAAGAGUUUAAACAUUUCUUGGACAAUGAUAUCAUAGGUUUGAAGUUUAAAAAUCUGAUCUGAUUAUAUAUUUUACUUGAGAAUAUUAAGUGAACUGUGUUUACUUAUGUGUCUUGAAAAUAGACAUGUUUCUGUUUGGUGGAUAUCUCUGAUAGGCCUGAUUAAUUUUUUUUAAGGGUUAGGGUUAGGAGUUAGGGUUAAAGGGGAGAUAGAGGUACUGGGAGGAAUGAAAGUAGGAGAAACUGUGGUCAGGAUAUAAUGUAUGUAAAGAAUAAAAAUAAAAUAAAAUAAAACAAACAUGAUUCAAGUUCAUACAUGUGCAUAUCCUUGUUACUCUAUAUUCAAAGGAAAUCAAAACAGUGUGAUAGGUAAGUGGACACAAGACUAUAGAUAAAUGUAUUUAUGCAACUCAAAAAAAAAUUUGUGGACUUUCCACAAAGAGCAUCCACGAUUAGGUUACACUGAGGCUUCCAUUAUGUACAUGUAUGUAAAAUUGUAUGCUUAUGCAUUGUGAAGCCACAACAUAAAGUCUGUAUUUACUUUUGCUUUAAACAUCUGUCCUAAACUACAUUUAGUUGUAGCUGCCUCCCCCUACUGGAUAAAAAUGAUAUCUUUAAAAGUGAAAAACCUAUUUUUUUUUUCCCUUCAAGAUUUUGGCACAUGGAAUAAAGAUAAUUUUUAAAAUUUCUGACAUGUUAAUAUUUCCAAAGCCAGAGGGAAAUCAAGUUAAAAGGAAAAGAUAAUAAUUAUGAAUCAGAAUGGGGUGAAAAAAAUAGGUAAAACAUUUCCUGAGCAUUAUCUAAUAUUGAAAGGUCUUGAAAGAUUUCCCAAGUAUAUUUAUAAGUAUGAAAUGCUCACAUACAGGUAGUAAAUGUCUUCGGAUUCCAAAUGGUCCUUAUUAUGGUGAUGCAAUGGCAAGGGUCUAGGUAUGGUAUAUUCCUUACCCACAGUUCCCUGCACCAAAAUAGAUGACCAAAACUGACUCGAGCUGAUGGCAGGUCCUAUACACCCACAUCUAUCUCACUGGGUGUGAAGACUCAUACAGUCCACAGCAUUGAUUGAUUAAUUGUGUGAUUACAGACAGAACCAAUUAGUCAUGAGAUUCUAUGGAUUCCUGGACCCUUCUGGGAUUGGAGGUUGCAUAUUAUAAAUGCACAGGAAGUCCAAAUGGGGGAAAUGUGUUGUUGUGCAAAGGCCGGGAGCCCAGAGUGCCAUUCUGCAUUAGGGACAUCUGGUAAGUGGUGGUGAACAAGAACAAGACCAUUUCAAAAGAAUGCAAGUGUCAGAGUGCAGCCACAUCAAAAGCCUGGCCAGCUCAAAUACAGUAAGCGACUGGCUUAGGGAAAUACUUCUGUUUACAGUGAGCUGUAUUAGUUUUUAGGAAGUCUGUUUUCCAAGUUCUUAUCUGUCAUUGGAUACAAGUUAUAUUGGAUUUACAGUAAUGGGUAAAAUAAAAGCAUUCUUGUCAUUUUAUUCACAAGGAAACUGAGACUCAGUGUGACUUACUUGACCUGUACUUGAGCCCUGAUCUAGAAGGAACUACACUGCUGUCUUAAACAGUGUGGGGCAGAAGCUGAGGCACCUUGAGAAUAUCAGAAGGACAGAAGGGUGUGGCUAGACAACAGGUUCUCCUUAGCUGAAGGUAGGUACCAGACACACAAGUACAACCUCCACGUUAGAAUAGGAGGGUGACUUUAUGUCAAACAGCUAACUUUGUAAUGAUGUCCACAUGAAUUCACGGGCUGGGGGGAUACUGGCCUGUGCUGUUCACUGAGGCACUCCACACACACACACUACGCCCAGUUACACUGUGAACUCGUUAUUAUAAUGCAAAUUGAAUUAAGGAUGAGCCGAUCAGGAAGGAAAAGCCAUGAGCCCCAUUACCUUGGCUGCCUCUUGGAUGCUUUGUGCACCCCCCUAUUUUCUCCUCCAGAGCUGAACCAGGGCUGUGUCACCAUUUUAUAUCCAGCCCCUACUUCCAUCAAUAGCACAGAACAGAUGUUUGUAAAUGGCACUGAAUGACUAUGGAAAUAAAUCUGAAGGGUUCUUCAACUCGCUGUAGAUUUUACUUCUGGGUCUAGAGACACAUAUUUAGAAAUCAAGGGCUCAGACAGAACGCCACCACCAUCCAAGGCAGUGACUGUGUUAGGCGGUAUACUAAUUCUGCACAGCUAGAAGUGUGUCCAACUUUCAGAGAAAGCCCAAUAAAUCUAACACCAGUAAGAUCCUUCUAAGGAUGUAGUGGUCAUAAAUGUGUUUCAUGUGCAAAAUUUAAAGACUGUAUAAAAAUGGUUAUUUUAGAACUAUGUUUUUAUAAACACAAUGAAUACAAUCCUAGGAGUUUCAACACACUCCAUAUCCAGGUUCCCCUUAUUAUCUUAUAACUGAAUGGCAGAUUUAUCAGGAUAACGAAUGGAUGUUGAUGCAUUAUUAGCUAAGCUCUAUGUUCCUUACAUCUCCUUAGCUUUCAGAUUUAUUCUCUCUCCACCCCAGGAUCCCUUCCAGGAGACACACUGUAUGGCCUAGGCAUAGAUCUCCCUGUGGCAGUUUCUCUGCUAGGACUUGAUAUCCUGAUCUUAAAGUUUUUUAAGUCUUUUUCUAUCCUCAAGUAGAAUUUACCCGAUGCUCAGCCAUGAAUCAAUGGGGAUUCUAAGUUGCUGGGAGGAAGAGCAAGGAGAAAGGCAUUUCCAUCACACUCUCCCGAGCACACACCUACGGCCUCAGUGGCAAACCUGGCUGAGGAAGUGUCUGCAGGUUUCUCCAUGGUGUGUUCUCCCCACCCUCGCUUUCCACUCUGAGCCUUUUGGAAGGAGGCCAGUUGUCAUCAGCAACCCAUUCUGAAGAAGUGGAAGUUUAUGUUAUACCUGCCUACGAUGUUGUAAGAACACCAGAGCACCCAAUUAUGCCAUAAAUGAGAAAACAAACACUGUAACAGAAAAUGUACCCUGCCUUUAAAACUAGCUGUGAGGACUCUGAAAUAA